rnacentral:rRNA from 1 species
CACGUAUUUAGCCGGAGCUUCUUAGUCAGGUACCGUCACUUUCUUCCCUGCUGAUAGGGCUUUACAUACCGAAAUACUUCUUCACCCACGCGGCGUUGCUGCAUCAGGGUUCCCCCCAUCGUGCAAUAUUCCCCACUGCUGCCUCCCGUAGGAGUCUGGGCCGUGUCUCAGUCCCAAUGUGGCCGUCCACUCUCUCAAGCCGGCUACUGAUCGCUGCCUUGGUCGGGCCGUUACCCCCGCAACUAGCUAAUCAGACGCGGGCCCAUCCUGUACCACCGGAGUUUUCCCCGCAGCGCCAUGCGGCACCGCGGGCUUAUGCGGUAUUAGCAGCCGUUUCCGGCUGUUCGUCCCCCUGUACAGGGCAGGUUACCCACGCGUUACUCACCCGUCCGCCACUAGGCUGUAUGCUGCCUUCCGCCCGAAAGCCUUCCGCUGCAUACCACCCCGUUCGACUUGCAUGGUGUUAGGCACCGCCGCCAGUCCGUUCACUCCUGAGCCGAGGACUACAAACCUCUCCGUUA